UACGAAGGUCCCAAGCGUUGUUCGGAAUCACUGGGCGUAAAGGGAGCGUAGGCUGCACGGUAAGUCAGAUGUGAAAUCCCGGGGCUCAACCCCGGAACUGCGUCCGAUACUGCCGUGCUUGAGGAUUGGAGAGGUAGCUGGAAUUCUUGGUGUAGCAGUGAAAUGCGUGGAGAUCAAGAGGAACACUCGUGGCGAAAGCGAGCUACUGGACAAUAUCUGACGCUGAGGCUCGAAGGCCAGGGUAGCGAAAGGG
rnacentral:rRNA from 1 species